UUGACGCUGGCGGCAGGCCUACACAUGCAAGUCGAGCGGAAACGACACUAACAAUCCUUCGGGUGCGUUAAUGGGCGUCGAGCGGCGGACGGGUGAGUAAUGCCUAGGAAAUUGCCUUGAUGUGGGGGAUAACCAUUGGAAACGAUGGCUAAUACCGCAUAAUGCCUACGGGCCAAAGAGGGGGACCUUCGGGCCUCUCGCGUCAAGAUAUGCCUAGGUGGGAUUAGCUAGUUGGUGAGGUAAUGGCUCACCAAGGCGACGAUCCCUAGCUGGUCUGAGAGGAUGAUCAGCCACACUGGAACUGAGACACGGUCCAGACUCCUACGGGAGGCAGCAGUGGGGAAUAUUGCACAAUGGGCGAAAGCCUGAUGCAGCCAUGCCGCGUGUAUGAAGAAGGCCUUCGGGUUGUAAAGUCUUUCAGUUGUGAGGAAGGGGGUGNNGUUAAUAGCUNUAUCUCUUGACGUUAGCAACAGAAGAACACCGGCUACUNCGUGCCACAGCCGCGGUAAUACGGAGGGUGCGAGCGUAAUCGGAAUCC
rnacentral:rRNA from 1 species